AGAACGAACGCUGGCGGCAUGCCUAACACAUGCAAGUCGAACGCUUUUGGGGCUUCGGUCCCAAAGGAGUGGCGCACGGGUGAGUAGCGCGUGGGAACCUGCCCUGGAGUGGGGGAUAACCGAGGGAAACUUCGGCUAAUACCGCAUGCGCCCGGUUUACCUCGAAAGGGGGAAACCGGGGAAAGAUUUAUCGCUCUAGGAGGGGCCCGCGUCGGAUUAGCUUGUUGGUAGGGUAACGGCCUACCAAGCCUGUGAUCCGUAGCUGGUCUGAGAGGAUGAUCAGCCACACUGGGACUGAGACACGGCCCAGACUCCUACGGGAGGCAGCAGUGGGGAAUAUUGGACAAUGGGCGCAAGCCUGAUCCAGCAAUGCCGCGUGAGUGAUGAAGGCCUUAGGGUUGUAAAGCUCUUUCGCCCGCGACGAUGAUGACGGUAGCGGGAGAAGAAGCCCCGGCUAACUUCGUGCCAGCAGCCGC
rnacentral:rRNA from 1 species